rnacentral:lncRNA from 1 species
UGACAGGUGUCUCAGGCCAGGCCCUGGAGUCAUCCAGGAUCCCAGGCUUGUUUUCACCAACAAAUCAUGAACCUCUGAAUAGUAUGGGCAGUGCUUGAACUUUCCUGGAUGAGUGGUGAGCAAGGUUUCUUGGCAUCAUCUGGAGACAGCCGCACAGGGGGCCAAUUCUUAUGCAGAAACAAGUCAGAUCUUCUGCCUUGUCUCCACGGUCACAAUAAGCACCAUGAGGCACCCUGCAGUAGUAAAAUGUAUGGAAAAGGAUGUUGAGUCUGGAGACCCAGCUCCGGUUGCUUGCUGGUUGUGUGAACCAAAUCACUUACAUCUCUCAUGCUUUUUCUCAUCUGUAAAUUAAGGGUUUUAACAGAUCAUAGGAUUUAGAGAUUGAAGGUACCUUAACAAUGAUCUAGUCCAAAUACUUUAUUUUAUAAAUGAAGAAACUGAGGUUCAAGAGGUUAAGUAAUUUGCCUGAGGUCACACAGGAUGAGAGCUAGGACUAGAUUCAGACUUCCCUAACAUCAAAUACAGGGCUCUUCCCACUUCCCCUCCUGAUGAUACCAAACUCACCUGAUUUUGUUGGGAAAGCUCAAAUGAGAUAAUGCAUAAAGUGCUUUGUAAACCUUAAAAUGCCAUGUAAAUAUCAGUGAUUGGUAUUAUUGUCCCUACCAUCACCAUCACCACCAGUGUUGUGAAGCAUGAGCCUCUGACAGGUGAGAAGAGAUUUAAAGAACUCUUCUGCAAUCAUCCUUACCUUCCGGAACAUUAGUGAAGAGGAGACUGACAAAACCCUUCAUGAAGAACGUUCUCCAGCGGUAGCCUCCAGUAUUCGAUGCCGAUUUAACCUACCACAACUAUCCCAGGAUCUAGAGGGGAGCCCCACAACUUUGGGGCCCCGGCUUCAUGCCCUUUCUGACCAUCUCAAGCACAGCUUACAGUUUAGAGUAGCACCUUAGAGUACAAACUGCAUCCAGGUGGGCAAAUCAUUGCAAUAUAUUUUGGUUAAAGCUCAGCUUUGUCCAGCUUUACCCCAUACAUCGGGACAUCUGUCAGAGCUCCACCAUGCCUCAUACCCAGGCCUACCAGAUUCUCUCUCUUACCCCAGUCCUUGUAUAAAGGAAGGUCAUUUCUGCCUGUACUCUAGGUAGACAAACCCAAUGUCAAGUUGAAGCAAUUCUGCUGCCUGAAUGGGACAUCUGGGUGUCUUUUUCUCUUCCUUAGAUCCCGUGUUCAGAAUCUCCUGAGCUCAUCUUCCUGUUGAGCUCUGAAUCUA